rnacentral:rRNA from 1 species
UACAGAGGUCUCAAGCGUUGUUCGGAUUCAUUGGGCGUAAAGGGUGCGUAGGCGGCGGGGCAAGUCUGAUGUGAAAUCCCGGGGCUCAACCCCGGAACUGCACUGGAUACUGCCCUGCUAGAGAUCUGGAGAGGAAACUGGAAUUUACGGUGUAGCAGUGAAAUGCGUAGAUAUCGUAAGGAAGGCCAGUGGCGAAGGCGAGUUUCUGGACAGUUCCUGACGUGAGGCACGAAGGUCAGGGGAGCAAACGGG